rnacentral:rRNA from 1 species
GAUGAACGCUGGCGGCGUGCCUAAUACAUGCAAGUCGAGCGAACAGAUGAGGAGCUUGCUCCUUUUACGUUAGCGGCGGACGGGUGAGUAACACGUGGGUAACCUACCUAUAAGACUGGGAUAACUUCGGGAAACCGGAGCUAAUACCGGCUAACCUUUUGAACCGCAUGGUUCUAUAGUGAAAGAUGGUUUUGCUAUCACUUAUAGAUGGACCCGCGCCGUAUUAGCUAGUUGGUAAGGUAACGGCUUACCAAGGCAACGAUGCGUAGCCGACCUGAGAGGGUGAGCGGCCACACUGGAACUGAGACACGGUCCAGACGCCGACGGGAGGCAGCAGUAGGGAAUCUUCCGCAAUGGGCGAAAGCAUGACGGAGCAACGCCGCGUGAGUGAUGAAGGGUUUCGGAUCGUAAAACUCUGUUAUUAGGGAAGAACAAACGUGUAAGUAACUGUGCACGUCUUGACGGUACCUAAUCAGAAAGCCACGGCUAACUACGUG